CCUACGGGGGGCAGCAGCAAGGGAUAUUGGUCAAUGGGGGAAACCCUGAACCAGCAACGCCGCAUGAGGGAAGACGGUUUUCGGAUUGUAAACCUCUGUCCUCUGUGAAGAUAAUGACGGUAGCAGAGGAGGAAGCUCCGGCUAACUACGUGCCAGCAGCCGCGGUAAUACGUAGGGAGCGAGCGUUGCCCGGAUUUACUGGGUGUAAAGGGUGCGUAGGCGGGUAAGCAAGUCAGAAGUGAAAACUACGGGCUUAACUUGUAGACUGCCGUUGAAACUGGUUUUCUUGAGUGAAGUAGAGGUUG
rnacentral:rRNA from 1 species